CCUCCUUGCUGCCCUGCUAACUGGCUUCGGUAGCUGGUCUGAUUUAGCCAGACAGAGAUUUCUUUCAGCUAAAGACAUUGUAUCUGAGUGUAAAUCUUUUCAUCCUGAUGUCUGCAUUGCAACUUAAUGAGCUGCCUGGCUAUGCCACAUUGGCUGGCAUAUAUUAUUUUACAGGUUGUGUGGGGAGAAGCAGAAGAUGCAGUCUGAGGAAUGCAGAAGGUAUCUCCCAGCCAUGAAGAACACCCCUGAGUGGGGAGCCUUCCAGCAUCAGUGUGCAUGGCCAGUAUGUGUGUGUUCUCUGGGCUGUCUUUAGCCCAUCAAGCUCACCCACAUGUAUGUGCUUGUCAGCACAGCCUGAUAUGCAAAAUUAGUAAACUGCUUUCCAAAACUAGAUAGCUUACCUCCAUAGCUAUUGUAACCCGCAUGUGGGAAUUUUCCUAAAGAGAGAAUAGUGUUAUCUGUGUUCCCAAAACCACAAAUACAAAUGGUUUAGUUGGAAUUUUAUCUUCAAACAUGGUAGGUUUAGCAAUUGAAUUAAUUUUUAAGAGAUAAAAGCUUUAAUGAAACAAGCUGUUUCUUAUGUGAAAAAAUAUCUGGGUUUUGCACAUACAAGGUGACCACAAAGAACUAUCCUAGUAUUUAAAAUAUUUUUGUUGUUUCUGUCUGGUACAGUUUAAACAGAGAAACCCCAAAUAUUAAAAAUAAAUGCAGUCCAGGGUUUUUCAAUAUUUCCAUCUCACAAGGGAAACAGUAUAGGACUCUUCUUCCCAUAAAUGCCUCUUCCCACUUCUGUAACAGUGAGCAGAAAAUGGCAGGUAUGAAAAUUUAACAUUACUGCAACAGAAUGUCUGUGUAGGGCACACAGAUUUGGACUGUUAUUUAGCCCAUUGGAAAUCUAACUCAACAGGAAAGCAGAAAUUAAUUCAAAAUGUUCCAUGAUGUGUUUUAUUACUUUUUUAAAUUCAUAAAUGCUAUCUUUUGCUCAGUCAAAUUUUUUCAGAAGCUUUUUGUGAACAAUAAAGAAAGAAAAGCACAGCACAAGUUGAGCCUCUGUGUUCCUACUAGCAGCACCUGAAAUAACUACAGAGACUGAAAACUAGUUCAUAACAUCUGGGCAAUUGCAUGCUAAAUUCUAACCACUCAGUUCCUUUGGUCUAAAGUGGGCAAUAGAUCAGUAAGAUAAGAUCAAGCCAUUAUCUGUGCUGUGAUUUAUUUCCUUUAUUACUGCCUUUUUGUAUCAUUCCUCUGUACAAGUUCUGUUUUGUAUGAUGUUUGGAGUCAGAGAAUAAGGGAAUAUAGAGAAAGUAACAAUGCUAUAUUUGAUUUUAUGUUUGGGUAUUACACAGCACAAAGAGAAUGUUUUAAAAUUUCCUUCUCUUGCCAGUGCCAAAUAAAAAUUGCCUGAUGAAAGAAGAUUAGCAAAUGCUGUGUUUAACAACUGAUUACAAAAUGCAGAACACACAAAACACUUGGUAUGUUUAAAAGUUGGAAAUAGGUGUUAUGAGAAAAAAGUAAAUGUAAAGCUCUAGUUAUCACUUGAAACCAAGGCAAAAUAAUACAGCAACCCCCUAUAGAGUCUGGGAGUGAUCACAUCUGUCCUGACAGAAUUUGUUUGGUUUAUCUUCAUGUGGAAACCAUGAAAUGUUUGAAUAGGUUGUUUAUUUUGCUGAUUGGAAGCUAAUACAGUUGAAGAUGCCUGGUUUCAGUUUGAACAUUCUAGAUUUUGUUUUAUGGAGAAAAGGAUGCUAUAUUUUGUGCUUAGCUGUUACCUGAAUUCAUUGCACAUCUGCAUAUGACUCUAAAUAUCUAAAUCUGUUGUUUUCUCCUCU